GCCGUGCAUCAAGAGUUGGGGCGACGCCCAACGCCAACCUGCCUUCCGGGCAAGGUGGAGCUUCCGUAAGGAAGGAUGUGGCCGCUCCGGCAAGUAUACGGAAUUAA
rnacentral:ncRNA from 2 species